GGGGCUCUUUUCUUCUCCUCAAAGGACAGCUGUCCGCCUGAGCUACGGGCGGGAACGAAGCUCACAAAGAAUGGCCACAGCAGAGUCUUGUAUCGAUUGCAUUUAACAGCAGUGCUUAAUAACGAGGUCUAAAAGAAGCAGUGAGACGGGGUGUAGCUACACAAAGCCCACAGGUGGAUGUAGUAGCACUAAUUUCUGCCCCGAUGCUUGUUUGUCCACACGUGGUGAUCUGGAGGGCCCUCGAACUCAGCUUUUGUUAUUUAUUUAUUUAUUUAUUUAUUAUUAAGGAGUUUUAUCAUCUCCUCUCACACAUAGUUCAAUUUGACCUGUAAACCCUCUGCUGCUGCACAGCAGUUAACAUAGCGUUACCAUCUCGGUGCUCUGGGGAGAAGUGAUGAACACCAAGUUACCAGAGCCACCUAUCUGCUCCUGCUUCAGUUACUGCUGAGCUCCUUUAUUAAGCUCUGUAUACAGAGAUGCAUGUCCUAUGGAGCAUGCUAGCUUACCUUUCUUAGAGUGAAGGGAAAUAGGAAGGCAAUGGAUUCACUAAUAAUUGAAAUAUGCAGAGGUUAAAAAUGGGAUCUGUACUAAUAUGGGACGUAUAUGUACUCCAUGUCAAACAAGAGCGCCUGGGAUGAGCAGUUUUUAACCAGCUAGUAGUUAUGUUCUAAAUCUCUACAAGCCUGAUGCUGCGUUACUGAUUUCUCAAAAGUUACCUUCACUACCAGCUUCAAAGAGCAAUUGAAAUGCUUGGCUAUACCCCCUGUAUUAGAAGAUAUAAGAUUCCCUUUAACUACCAAUUUAACAUCAGCCUUGAAGGCUUUCUAGUUUAUAAUUAUUCUGUAAUUACCAGCUGAAGCAAUGACAAUCAAAUUAGAUGCUUUCUCAGCUCUCCUUAUCCCAUGCUUAAUCCCUUUCACCCCCUCCGUGCCCUUACAGGGCCGUUCCUUUUGCUAUCCAUGCUGAGGAUACCCGUGGUCCGCUUGUGAUUAACACAGUGAUGCAAUCAGAGUUAUAAAAAGAAGAGAUGCCUCCUGCAGAAGAAACUAAGAAACAAUCUGCUGAUGUGUCUCAUUCUGAAUCUAAAUCAGAAGAUGAACCAACGGAUGAUGAAAGCCAGAAUGAUACAGCAAGUACAGAAUUUGAAGAGGACGAACAAUUGAGUGGCCCUGUGGGACAACCAAGGCCCAAACCUGCUUAUCUGAGUUCAAAGCCAAAAGCAAACUGCCAUCUCAGACGGCUGGUCUCAGAACCAAAGAUAAGACCCUCCCACGUGGAAAGGAGUGUUCUCUGUAACAUCGUGAUGCUGCUGUGCUCCAUGUUUUGUUCCCUCACCUGGACUUUUCUCAGCCAUUUGCUCCAGAUCUGUAAUGUCCUGAGGAUUCAACUUCUGCCAUCCUCUCUGGUUGUCGAUGUGGCUCGGCUCUGUGAUUUGUUGCGUGGAAAUGUUGUGAAAAUCCUGGGCUCCCCAAGGCUACAAAGCAGAGGGCUGUUAACUUCAAUCCUGGGGACGAGAUACAAGAAAACAGAACAGAGUGCAGCUCAGAGGAAUGCCUCGAAGUAGAAAUGAAACUGGUAGUUCUAUGACCACUAGCAGCAAUCCUGUUCAGCAUCAGUGAAAGCUACUCUAGCAUGGCAGGGGGAGGUUAAUUCUCUAGUAAAGAAAUGCAGUCAGGACUAAGCUGAUGCACUCAGGUCACAACAGCUGCUUUCCAAGUGACCAGUAUUGACUGGUUGUAUGUUAUUAAAUGGACCACAGCAAGUAGCAUCUCACACAGAGCUUGGAAGCGUGCUCUGCUACUCUCCUACUGCAAAGUACAAAUCACUUUUAGAGUGGCUAAACACCCUUAGCAUGUAUGGAGUGUGUCCUCCUUCACUGCUGUGCAGAAUACACCCUUCUCAGCACACAAGGUUGGAUUCUGCUGCCAGAGACAGUCACUGCCAGCUCUGUGGGGCCAUGAGGAAAGGGGCAGGAGGGGGAUAUGCUGUAGUUCUGUCCCCUAAAGGUUCAUGAAGGGCUGUUUGCUCAUUGCUUUGACACACACGUUGCACGAAUUCGCUUUAAAAGACAAGUUGAAAAUAGAGUCACAGCCUAGGAAGCACGCUGUCAUUUGAGAAAGCGUUUGUCCCUAUUCCUGAGGUGAAGGAAACUCUCCACAGCCCUGCAUGGGGAGUCUGUGUAACGGUUCUGCCGCCUGUAAUUACGAAGCACGCCUUGUUUGUGUUUCUCUUUCCCACAGCCGUCCACGCGUCCAAAUAUUUGUGCAGGGCAGCGUGCUUUUAAAUAAAACUUGUUUGCUCGCUGU